GGGAUAUUCCUGAACACCUUAAAGAGAAUACUAGAUGUUCUACACUGUAGAGGGGACAUGUUGAAGUGUCGGGCAUCCUAUUUACCCAUGACUGAAGAUAAGAAGUCACUGUUUGGAGAACAAAUGAAUGGAAUCACAGUUCUACUGAGAACAAAAUACAAGAACUACUUGCAAGCAAUAGUUGGAAAGCUUGUCAGCAAUAUAUUGGACAAUACAUUUGCUUCACAGAUGCAGCGAUUACUAGGAAAUGCCCUUAAAGAAAAAGAUCUUGAGCCCCCUCGCUCUGUGACUGAAGCUUGAUCAAUACUCUGCAGAGACACGGCAAAUGCUGCAGAUUCAUUUAGCUACUUCUAUGCGUAGAUAUUAUACCUCCCCUGGGUGUCAAUUUUUUUGUGAAUCUGUCAUUUCAUUUGUUCAUUUUAGCAGUGUACAGGACCACACUUUAGAGCCCAAGCUUUUAGAAGGUUCUUCCGUAUGAGAUUAAAAGCUCGUAUCAUAUGUAUUGUAUCGUCCAAAUAUCACAAAUUUUUUAUGUCGAUAAGAGUUCGUUUUC